rnacentral:rRNA from 1 species
GACGAACGCUGGCGGCGUGCUUAACACAUGCAAGUCGAACGGAAAGGCCCUGCUUUUGUGGGGUGCUCGAGUGGCAAACGGGUGAGUAACACGUGAGUAACCUGCCCUUGACUUUGGGAUAACUUCAGGAAACUGGGGCUAAUACCGGAUAGGAGCUCCUGCUGCAUGGUGGGGGUUGGAAAGUUUCGGCGGUUGGGGAUGGACUCGCGGCUUAUCAGCUUGUUGGUGGGGUAGUGGCUUACCAAGGCUUUGACGGGUAGCCGGCCUGAGAGGGUGACCGGCCACAUUGGGACUGAGAUACGGCCCAGACUCCUACGGGAGGCAGCAGUGGGGAAUAUUGCACAAUGGGCGGAAGCCUGAUGCAGCAACGCCGCGUGCGGGAUGACGGCCUUCGGGUUGUAAACCGCUUUCGCCUGUGACGAAGCGUGAGUGACGGUAAUGGGUAAAGAAGCACCGGCUAACUACGUGCCAGCAGCCGCGGUGAUACGUAGGGUGCGAGCGUUGUCCGGAUUUAUUGGGCGUAAAGGGCUCGUAGGUGGUUGAUCGCGUCGGAAGUGUAAUCUUGGGGCUUAACCCUGAGCGUGCUUUCGAUACGGGUUGACUUGAGGAAGGUAGGGGAGAAUGGAAUUCCUGGUGGAGCGGUGGAAUGCGCAGAUAUCAGGAGGAACACCAGUGGCGAAGGCGGUUCUCUGGGCCUUUCCUGACGCUGAGGAGCGAAAGCGUGGGGAGCGAACAGGCUUAGAUACCCUGGUAGUCCACGCUGUAAACGGUGGGUACUAGGUGUGGGGUCCAUUCCACGGGUUCCGUGCCGUAGCUAACGCUUUAAGUACCCCGCCUGGGGAGUACGGCCGCAAGGCUAAAACUCAAAGGAAUUGACGGGGCCCCGCACAAGCGGCGGAGCAUGCGGAUUAAUUCGAUGCAACGCGUAGAACCUUACCUGGGUUUGACAUGGAUCGGGAGUGCUCAGAGAUGGGUGUGCCUCUUUUGGGGUCGGUUCACAGGUGGUGCAUGGCUGUCGUCAGCUCGUGUCGUGAGAUGUUGGGUUAAGUCCCGCAACGAGCGCAACCCUUGUUCACUGUUGCCAGCACGUUAUGGUGGGGACUCAGUGGAGACCGCCGGGGUCAACUCGGAGGAAGGUGGGGAUGACGUCAAGUCAUCAUGCCCCUUAUGUCCAGGGCUUCACGCAUGCUACAAUGGCUGGUACAGAGAGUGGCGAGCCUGUGAGGGUGAGCGAAUCUCGGAAAGCCGGUCUCAGUUCGGAUUGGGGUCUGCAACUCGACCUCUUGAAGUCGGAGUCGCCAGUAAUCGCAGAUCAGCAACGCUGCGGUGAAUACGUUCCCGGGGCU